GAGGGGGCAGUCACGUGAGCCGGUCACGUGCUACCACAGUGGCAGCGUUGGGCCCGCAGGAGCCGGUUCUAAGCGCAGCUACGGACCCGAACGCGGCUUCCCCCCACCCACUUCCGGGACCCUCAUGGCGGGGGCAGGGCGCGGCGCGCGCGGGGAGCAGCCGGCGGGCGGGGCUACAGGCGCCUACGCGGCUUCGUCGCCUGGCCCCGCUGCUGAGCGCCAGUGACAAGACUGCACCUGAGCUGGUGCUCUCUGCUCCUCCACCUUCUUGUCUCUCACUGGAGUUCUCGGACCUGUCCACACACAAUUUCAGUAGCUUCCUUGGCCCUGGAUGGCUGGCGAAGAGGGAUGUUUAGUCUGAUGGCCAAUUGCUGUAACUGGUUAAAACGGUGGCGGGAGCCUGUCAGGAAGGUGACACUAGUGAUGGUGGGACUUGAUAAUGCUGGUAAAACUGCUACAGUGAAAGGAAUCCAAGGAGAGUCUCCUGAAGAUGUAGCUCCAACAGUUGGAUUUUCUAAAAUUGACCUUAAACAGGGAAGGUUUGAAGUCACUAUCUUUGACUUAGGAGGUGGAAAACGAAUACGAGGCAUCUGGAAGAAUUACUAUGCUGAGGCAUAUGGGAUAAUAUUUGUUGUGGAUUCCAGUGACACAGAGAGAAUGGAAGAGACGAAAGAGACCAUGACUGAAGUUCUAAGACAUCCUAGGAUAUCUGGGAAGCCUAUAUUGGUGCUGGCAAAUAAGCAGGACCGAGAAGGAGCAUUGGCAGAAGCAGAUGUAAUUGAGUGCUUAUCGCUGGAAAAGCUUGUCAAUGAGCAUAAAUGUCUGUGUCAGAUUGAGCCUUGCUCAGCUGUUAUGGGCUAUGGGAAAAAAAUUGACAAAUCUAUAAGAAAAGGUCUGUAUUGGCUGCUGCAUACUAUAGCAAAAGAUUUUGAUGCCUUAAAUGAGCGCGUCCAGAAAGAUACAUCAGAGCAAAAAGCAUAUGAGGAACAAGAGAAGCGAGAACGAGCUGAACGAGUAAGAAAGAUACGAGAAGAAAGAGAACAAAGGGAGAGAAAAGAAACUGACUUUGAAGGAAGAAGUGUACCUAAGGAAGUUGACUCUGAGCCAAUUUCUAGCAACCCCUUCCAGCCAAUAUCUACUGUAAUCACUGAGAAUGAAAAAAGAAUUGAACAAGAGAAGAGGCAGAGGAUGGAGAUUGAAAAGGAUGCCAUUGCCUUGAAACCUAAAGCAGAGCAGGAACAAAUGGACACACAGAGCCUGACCAGCAGCUGUAGCCAAAAAACAAAUGAUUAUAGACUUAUAGAAACAUACAAAUCUGCACUCGCACAGCAAUUAGAGCAUGAAGAAGAGGGUGACCAACAAACCUCAGAAUGCCUUGAUUCAGAUACCAGUAAAAAGAAAACAAAGAAACUCAAGUUAAAAAGGAGUCACAGGGUGGAACCAAUCAGUGCAGAGGAAGCUGUUCCCAAAAAUCCGACCCCACCUCCGCCUCUUCCACCAGAUCUUGGAAAUCAUGCACCUUGGUAUAACUUGAACAUUACUUCUAUGGCAGGAAAAAAAAAUACUGAUGGUACCUACAGCAAUUAACAGUUGGCUGGGGAACCCCCAACGUUAAUAGACUUCGAAAACUUGAACCUCUUGGUGAAACCCGUCAUACUGGAGUUUAAAGAGAAGAAAGAGAGAAAGAAAAGCCAGAAAAGAGAUUUCUAUGGAAAGCCGCUACCUCCAUUGACUAUACGGCAGAGACCUAACAGUGACACUCAUGAUAUCAUUUCUUAACCAGAUCACAUGCUACAUUUUUAAUUUAAUCACAACAUUAUAUUAAACAAUUUUCUUACUUGAAGAAAACUUGAUACUGUUUUAAAAGUUGCUGUGAGAUGAGACAGUAAGAACCCAUCUUCUCUUCUGCCAUAGAUUAAUUCUACCGGAUUUGAUUGAUGAGAUUUUCUACUUGGCUUAUUAGUUACUGUUCACAUUUUCACCAGCUCUUCUUCAGGGGUUAACAGGGAGAUGGAGAACAGAAAUGUUUGAGAGCACUUGCAUGCAUAUGGAAUUUGGGAUCAGGUUGGUACUGUUGGGUUUUAUGUUGGGGUUUUCUUGCCAGACUAUAUAGCUAUAACCCUGAAGAAAAACACCUUCAAGACCAAAUGCAAUUGGAUUUGGUGUGCUCAUCAAGACUGUCGUUCAUAUGUUGUGUAGUAAUCCAUAUUUCUACAGCUAAUAAUUUUAAGGCAUUUUGUAAGAUGUGUGCAUGUUAGAGUGAAUACAGAGAAUUAUACGCUACAAAUGUUAACUAUAUUUUUAUAAUUUUUUCUAAUAUUUUAUCUGGGAAUUUGAUUUAACAUUAAUGCCUGUUACUCACCAUCAAAAUGUUGUCUAGAAAGUGUUAGAAAUUUGUUGAUAGCUUUACCCAUAUGAGUAUAUUGACUUUUAUGUUUACUUUACAAUAGCAAUACAUUUUGUUUGGGAUUUAUGUCACCAGUUGCCCUAAUUAUUCAUAUAUUGCCCUUCUGGCAGUCUCUGGGGUUUUUAAGAUAAACAGAUUUUGCACAUAAUUAUGGUACUUUGAUAGACUGUCUAAAAGUUUUCUUCUUAUGGAUCAUUUUCUUUCUUUUUUUUUAAUGGGAGUUGAUAUGCACAGUAAAUAUAUUUUCAAAUAUCUUAAUUAGAUAGUGUAUUGUGUGCUAUAAGAUAAAAUUGCAGACAAUUGAAAUGUUGAACUCAUUUCAACUAAGAAUUCUGGUGAAAAAUCAAAUCAUUUAGCAUACAUGUCUGUUUAAUGUGUUCUGUAAACACUAAAAAUGUCAUAUUGAAAAUGUAAAACCUGAGAUUUUUAAGCCAAUGUAAUGAGGCCAAUUCUAACCUUCUAAAUAAUGUGCCUCUCUCAUAUUUAUUUUUUUUAAAGGGAGGGUAUGUUGGAGGAGAGAAUUGGAUUUACAGUACUUUAGAUGUUUUGAUAUAAGUUUGUAUUCUGUUACAUUUGGGAGAAUAAUUUCUAUACCAUGUGUGUACGUAUAAUUUUACUACUUAGCUGCUGGUGAUUGGAAGAAAUUCCCUGCAAUGUUAUAGUGAGGUUGAAAGCAUUUGUGAAAAAAGCACAGGUCCUAAAUGAAAGGUUUUUGGAAUAGGCAGGCAAUGGUGACUUUCUAUUACACUACCAGCUUCCCGUCAUCUCAUACUAGCAAAAGACACUAGGCAGUGCUAAUGCAGUGAAAUAUGUUCGUCAGCUACCUUAAAAUUUGAAAGCAUUGCAUGAGGUUUUAGCCACAUGACUCUUGUUAAAGUCAAUGGGAGUGACACAGCUAAAACCCCACAUAAUUAUUUUGAAAUAUAACCCUUACUUAAUGGCUUAAAACAUUAGUUUGUUUUAAUUAAAGCAAAACAGUCACUAGUAUUAAGGAUGUUGUAUUGCAUUAGGAAGAGAGAGUACUCAAAUUCAGUGAGUAACAGUAUGUAUAAAACCAUUUGAAUGUGACUGGAAAGAGCAGGAGAAUACUUCCCUGGUAGUGGUAACAGGGUAUGAUAUGGUAACAGGGUUCUGUUUGAAUAAAUAAUGAUACCAUUGUGAUGUAGUUUGGCUUGCUUUCAAUAAACGUGUCUUAAUAUUUAGCAUUCUUUCCUUAAAAGUUUACACGCAUGAUCCCAUUAAUCUUACCAUUUUUAGCUACCUUGUCAUAAACGUUCCUUUGGCUGAAAGGGUCUAUGUAUUGUAGUUUGACACUUUUUUCAGUUUCAUAUUGACCGUUGAGGUUUUUUCUUUUUUACCCAUAUGCAAAACAAAUUAAAUUAAUGAAAGUCUUUGUUUCUCUUUUUGAAGUGCAACUAAAAAGAAAGCUGGCAUGGAAGGUAAAUGAGAAACUGAAACUUAAAACAAUGAUAUUUCUCACAUUCAAAAUUUGUUUCUACUGUUAAAAUAAAUGUAUAUUGUUAUAAGACCAAAUUACUAAAAAUAUUUUUCAUACAGUUUUAUAUAUGAAAGCGUACUGUAAUUGACUGCAUUGUUUUUCUCAUUAUUUUAUACUACAUCAGCUUUUUAUUUGUUGAAGGUCACAUUUCCUGAGGACUUCUGUGUAUAGAAUAAAACUAAUGUACAGCA